CCCGGGCCUUGUACACACCGCCCGUCACACCAUGGGAGUUGGAGGUACCGGAAAACGCCGUGCUAACCGUAAGGAGGCAAGCGUUUAUGGUAUGGCCGAUGACUGGGGUG
rnacentral:rRNA from 1 species